CAUUCCCGGGGACAACUUUGCAAGGCCAUGUGCUCGUCCUCCUUAGGAAGGAAGAGGGAGAAAUCCCUGCGGCUCGGUUUUGUUCCAAUGGUCUGCUCAGCGAGUGAUUCCCGUUUCCCCAAAGGCUGCCCCUCAUUAGCAUGAACGGGGGUGGGGGUGUGGAGAAGGGGUUGGGGGAGAGAAAGCAAGCAAAAGACCAGGCUCACUUUUAGAGCCUGGGAACCCUGUCUGCAAAAAUGACAGCUAGAGCUUUCUGGCUCCUCUGUUUGAUCGUCGGAUCAUCCCCCGAAGCACCGGUGGCGGAGAGAAAAACCUCGCCGCCGCACAGCAGAAAGCCGGACUCCCGCGGCUGCCCGAGCGCGGAGGAGACACCGGGGCCCCGCGCGCAGCCACUCCUUGAGGCCCCGCAGCGGCCGCGCGCGGCCGAGGUCGCUCCCGCCGCCCGCGCCUGGCCUGACCCGCGCCGCCGGAAGCCCCCACCGCCGGCCGACAACCAGGCCAGCUUCCGGGAGGCCGCACGCGCGCCCGCUGGCCCGCCGGGCCCGCGCCUGGCGCAAGCCGAGAACCGCGCGUCGCCG
rnacentral:lncRNA from 1 species